ACUGUUUCAUUAGAUAACUUUGAUCAUCUCAGUUACAUCAUUGUCUAUAAAUACUCAUUGUAAUCAUCAUUUACAACAUAUAUGAAAAUUGCAACUCUUCCUCCUAAAAUUCUAUUUUCUCUGUUUCUUCUCAUCUUCUAAUUUCUCUUGAUUGUAUCCUCAAAUCUCCAUUCCUGGACAAUCUUUCGAUCCUCGAAUCUUUGAGAUUCCUGAAAUCGAGUAACAUUGGUAUCAGAGCUAGUCUUCCUCGGCAUCAAUGGUGAAAGGUGUAAGAAUAACGGGUGAUUCAAUAACUGAAGCUGCUGCUGCAGAGAUGGGAGAUCUGCGUGAGAUGAUGCAAAAUUUGGUUACAGAGGUAGGUAAUUUGGCGGGAAAGGUCUCAUCAUUAGAGAGGUUGGAUAGUGUUGUUAUGGAGUUGAGGCAACAACUAGUAGGGGAAGGUCGGAGGAAUAAUGUUCCUUUAGGGCAUGAAGAAAAUCAUGACCAGGAGGGGGAAUUGGAAAUAGAGAAAGGAGCCCUAACUAUGGUACUACUUCUCAAUUUCCCAAUUCUUCUAAUUUUCAGCAUUCUCAUUUCAAUAGAUGGUCGAGAUGGAGUUUUUAAAGUUUUUUGGGGAUGAUCUUCGAUCUUGGUUAUUCAAGAUUGAGCAAUUCUUCUCUAUGGAGAAUAUUACACCUGAGGAUAAGGUAACCAUAGCAUCUAUGCAGUUGGAAGGGGAAGCUAUCUAGUGGCAUGUUUCUUUCAUGAGAUACAGACAGUAUGUGCAGGCUAUUAGUUGGAAGGAAUAUGUAGGAGCUUUGGUAGAGAGGUUUGGGAUUGACUUUGAUGAUCCCAUGGAGGAAAUUAAGAAGAUUAAGCAGACAGGAAGUGUAAGAGAAUAUCAAGCAGCUUUUGAAAGAAGUUUAACUAGGGUGAACUUAUCAGAGGAGAAUGCUAUCAGUUGCUAUAUUGGAGGCUUGAAAACUGAACUCAACAUUGUUGUCAAGAUCACAAAACCUUCCUCUCUUUCUCAGGCUUACAAGAGUGUAAGAAUGCAAGAGGCAUAUUUGUUUGCUAUGAGACAACAUUCCAGUAAUUCUUUUCAAGUCAAUGCAAGAAAGUUUGCAGAUCAAAAGUACUCUAAUAGUAAAGGCAUUCUACCUACUCCUAGUAGCAUUACUUCUGGAUUCUCUAAAGGGGUGAACAAGAGAACUCUAAGUAUUAAGGAGAUGAAUCAUAAGAGAGCAAGGGGUUUGUGUUAUUUUUGCAAUGACAAAUACAUGCCUAGUCGUAAAUGCAAUAAUUCAAAACAGUUGUACUUAUUGGAGGUGGAUGAAUCUGAAGAUUUAGAUGAGUCACAUAUUAAACAAGAUGGUGAAGUCCAAGAAGAACAAGGUGAUCAGUUGGAGUUGGGACAGCCUGUAGAACAUAUGGAAAUUUCUAUGCAUGCCUUGAAUAGUUCAUUGGGAUUUAGGACCCUGAAGGUGAUUGGUUAUCAUUCCAAAAUGGAGUUGCAUAUCCUAAUUAACACUGGAAGCUCACAUAAUUUCAUUGACCCUGACUUGGACAGUAAAUUAGGUUGUGAAGUGAAACCUAUUAAACCGGAAGUGGUGGUUGCUGCUAAUAGUAGCAUGCAAGUAGAUAAGAUGACAACCAUUACUUGGUUGCUGCAAGGAGCUAAAUUUUGUACUGAUUUUCUUUUACUUCCUCUUGGUUCUUGUGGAGUAGUGUUGGGAGUUCAGUGUUACUCACUUUGGGCGAUAUCAAACUGAAUUUCAGAAAAUUAACGAUGGAAUUUUAGUAUAAAGGGAAAAAAACAUUUACUCAGAGUUGCCGGCAAUCAAGUAUUGACUUCGGGUGCAGGGAAAUUAACAAAACACUCAGGCAACCAAUCUCAACUGUGUAUGAUUCAGGUGGUUCCACAAAGUAGGGAAGAAAGCAUGUGGCAUCCCUCAGAAGUUGACAAGAAUAAAGAAGAUGAUCCUGCAUUACUUAAGGUAUUAUCUGAAUUUUCUUCAUUGUUUGAAGAACCUAUAGGUCUACCACCUUCUAGAGGUAUAUAUGACCAUAGAAUCGUAUUACAACCUGGGAUUGAACCUACCAAUAAAAGACCUUAUAGAUACACCUCUGUUAAGAAGGACAUUAUUGAAGGCAUAGUGCAAUAAAUGAUGGAUCAAGGCAUCAUUCAACCUAGCUGCAGUCCUUUUGCAUCACUUGUGGUAUUAGUAGGCAAAAAAGAUGGCUCUUGGAGGUUAUGUGUUGAUUAUAGAGAUUUGAACAAAUUCACUGUCAAGAACAAGUUUCCAAUCCCUAUUGUUGAAGAUCUCUUGGAUGAACUAGGAGGUUCCAAGGUAUUCUCUAAAAUCAACUUAAGGUCUGGAUAUCACCAACUAAGAAUGGCAAAAGAUGAUGUACCUAAAACUGCUUUUAGAACCCAUUCUGGACACUUUGAAUAUUUGGUAAUGCCUUUUGUCUUAUCAAAUGCCCCUGCUACAUUCCAAGGACUAAUGAACUCUAUAUUUCAGAAGUUUUUAAGGAAACAUGUACUGGUUUUUUUCGAUGAUAUAUUGAUUUACAGUAGAAUUAUGGAGCAAAACAUUGUGCAUUUAAGGUCUGUGUUUUUUAAGAUGGUGGAACAUCAAAUUUUUGCUAAGAAGAGCAAAUAUUUCUUUGGUGUUAAAAGAAUUGAGUAUCUUGGUCAUUUUAUAACAGCUGAAGGUGUGUCUACUGAUCCACAAAAGGUUAAGGCUAUAAAGGAAUGGCCUACCCCAUCUACAUUGAAAUAAUUGAGAGAAUUUUUUGGGUUAGCUGGAUAUUACAGGAGGUUCAUACAAGGGUUCGGUAUCAUUUCCAAGCCUCUUAUUGACCUCACUAAGAAGGAUAAAUUCAAAUGGAAGGAUACAACACAUAAGUCCUUUAUGCAGUUGAAGGAAGCAUUAACUCAAUCUCCUAUGUUAGCUUUGCCAGAUGAGAGAAAAACAUUUAUUGUGGAGACUGAUGUCAGUGGAUAUGGUAUUGGUGUUGUACUUAUGUAGGAGGGGCAUCCUAUAGCCUUCAUUAGCAAGGAAUUAUCACCAAAACAUACAGCUUUAUCAGUAUAUGAUAGGGAGUUAUUAGCUAUUGUUCAAGCAGUUACUAAAUAGUCUCAGUACUUGUUAAGCCAAAAGUUUGUUAUCAGGACAGACCAAAAAGCUUUAAAGUUUCUCAUGGAACAAAAACUACACACCAAUUCAUAAUUACUAUGGCUGACUAAGUUGAUGCCUUUUGCCUAUUCCAUUGAGUACAAAAAAAGGGUUGAGAACAAAGUGGCCGAUGCACUCUCUAGAGUGACUGGUGCUAAAUUGCUUGCUUUAAUUAUCUCUCCUACAAAAACUGACCUUUUCAAUGAUAUUGUGGCUAGUUGGCAUACAGAUCCAGAGCUCACUCAACUAAUUGCUGACUUAGAGGCAAAUCCUACAUCACACAGACAGUUCACCUGGGAACAUGGUCAGUUGAGGAGGAAAGGAAAGCUAGUGAUUGGAAAGGUGCAGAACUUGAGGAAGGAUAUUAUGUCCCUAUGGCAUCCUGGUCCCUUGAGGGGCCAUUCAGGAGUAGAUUCUACCUUUAAAAAGUUGUUAACACUGUUCUAUUGGAAAACUUUGAGAUUUGAUGUAAAGGACUUCAUUCUGAAAUGUGAUGUUUGUCAGAAAAACAAAUCUUUUUUGGCGGCUUAUCCUGGUUUGUUACAACCUUUACCAAUUCCAGAGGUGGUGUGUUCUCAAAUUAGCAUGGAUUUUAUUGAUGGUCUUCCCAAAUCACAGGGUUUUGAAGUAAUACUGGUGGUGGUGGACAGAUUAAGUAAAUAUGGUCACUUCAUGCCACUCAAGCAUCCUUAUACUGCUCAAUCUGUUGCUAAGGUGUUUUUUGAUACUACUGUGAGACUACAUGGUCUACUAGAUGCCAUAACAAGUGAUAGAGAUGCAGUUUUUCUCAGCUCUUUCUGGCAAGAGCUUUUCAAUCUUCAAGGUGUGAUGUUGCAUACUUCUACUGCAUAUCAUCCCCAGUCUGAUGGUCAGACUGAGGUCUUAAAUAGAUGUCUUGAGACUUAUUUGAGAUGUUACUGCAAUGAUGAUCCUUCUGCUUGGGUUACUUGCUUACCUAUGGCCGAAUACUGGUAUAGCACAUGUUUCCACUCAGCUAUCCAGACUACACCUUAUGAGGUGCUUUACGGUAGACCUCAUCCUCUAUAUCUACCCUACUUGCCAGGUGAAUCGGCUUCUGCGGAGAUGGAUACUACACUAAUUAAUAGAGAGCUUAAGUUACAGCUCCUUAAGCACCAUUUGCUCCGAGCUCAACAUAGAAUGAAACAACAAGCUGAUGCUCAUAGGAGUGAUAUAAGUUUUAAUGUUGGUGAUUGGGUCUAUUUUAAAGUGCAACCUUACAGGCAAACCACUAUAUCUCACUAUUAUUCUCAUAAGUUGGCUGCCAAAUAUUAUGGGUCAUUUCAGAUCAUUAAAAGUGUUGGUCUUGUUGCUUAUACACUGUUGCUGCCAAGUUCUGUCAAGAUCCAUCCAAUUGUCAAUGUAUCCCUACUCAAAAAAUGCUAUGCAAUACCCUCUACUAUCUCUUGUCCUCCUACUGUGGACUUAGUCAAUCCCAAUUGUCCCACUCCUGAAGCUGUUUUGCAGAAAAGACUAGUCAAGAAAGGCAAUAAAGUGGUGGCACAAGUGUUUAGUGAAAUGGUCUGAUCUACCUGCCNNNNNNNNNNNNNNNNNNNNNNNNNNNNNNNNNNNNNNNNNNNNNNNNNNNNNNNNNNNNNNNNNNNNNCUUUUGUGGUGGGGGGGGGGGGGGGUGGGGAGUAUUGUUAUCAUAAAUUGGAGUUGAAGUUAGUUGAAGUUAGUGAAAGUCCAAAUCAGUUGGUUUUAAAAGUUAGUUAGAAACACUGCAGCUACAGUAGUCUGUUUCCAGAAGUUAGUUAGGAGUGACAAGUUGAAUCGGUUAUCAAACAAUUGUUUCAUUAGAUAGCUUUGAUCAUUUCAGUUACAUCAUUGUCUAUAAAUACUCAUUGUAAUCAUCAUUUACAGCAUAUAUGAAAAUUGCAACUCUUCCUCCUAAAAUUCUAUUUUCUCUGUUUCUUCUCACCUUCUAAUUUCUCUUGAUUGCAUCCUCGAAUCUUUGAGAUUCCUGAAAUCGAGUAACAAUCCCACAGAGAUAAAGACCCUAAAAAACAACAAAAACAAACCCGCAUAGAAUAAGAAGAUAAAUAUCAAAAUAAAUUCAAAUUUCAAGAAUAUGGGGAAACCUCUCUAACCCACUUUGGGGCGUUGUUAUCAAGACCCUCAGUGAACAUCUGCUACUCAAAUCGCUUGUAUAAUUAAGGAAAGAAAACAUAAACAUUAACAAGAAAAACACAAUGCAUCACCUUAACUAAACGCAAAACAAUAAAAUACCCAGAAUGUAAGAAAAUGUUGCAGUAGAAAUCGAGGAAGAACAGUAGUGUUAAACAAGAAAGUAAUGAAUACCUAGAAGAAGAAGCAAAGAUUUAUCACUCUGUUCAAACGGGGAGGAGUAGAAACUACAAGUGGUGAGGGAGGAGAGGUGUGAGGUUGGAGAAAAAACAAAUCGAAGUCGAACGUUGG
rnacentral:lncRNA from 1 species